GAAUUACGCUCCCUUUUCUUCUUCUCUGGUUUCUAUAUGUGAAGUGAAACAGACUACAGAGAACAAUAAGCAAUGUCGCUUCAGCAAAACCCCCACCAAAUUCGACCGUUGAUUUCCUACCCAAUUCAAAAUUUCCCAAGCUCUUUCCAAACCUCAUCUCCAACCCUCCAUUUCUCCACCAAAACACCUCCAAAGCCAAUCCACUUCCACCCAUUGACGCCAAAAUCCCAACCCGCCCACCAUCCGGCCCCCCAAACCAGAACCCAAGAGGACGGCAUCCCCGCCGAGGAUGUCAAAAUCCUCGCCAAAUUCAAGUCCAGGUACAAUUACAUUCGUGUCCUCGAAGUUUCUCGAAGAGCCGACCACCCCUUUGCUGGGUCAAGGCUUCUCCUUCUUGACAACCCUGGAAACAUCCACAGCAUCUCCUUCAUUUUCAAGUCCCUCACCAGCACUUACUUUGACGUCUUCGCCACUUUGCCGCCGAUUUUGCCUCCUGGACCAGUCGGAAUUCUUGGGUUCGGGGCGGGUUCUGCCGCAAGGUCCAUUCUUGAGCUGUACCCAGAAGUUGCGGUUCAUGGGUGGGAGCUUGACCCGUCUGUGAUUGCUGUGGGCAGAGAGUACUUUGGUCUCUCAAAGCUGGAAAGACAGUACCCAGGUAGGCUUAUAAUUCAUGUUGGAGAUGCAUUCAAAGCUAGCACUAGAGAUGGGUUUUCAGGGAUUUUGGUGGAUUUGUUUUGUAAAGGCAGUUUGGUUCCUGAGCUGCAAGACCCAAAUACUUGGGAGAUGCUCAGAAAGUGUUUGAGAAAAGGCGGGAGAAUAAUGGUCAAUGUAGGAGGUAGUUGUGUGGAGGCUGAGGACUCAACGAGAGAUGGGAAAGUAGUUAUGGAAGACACAUUGAAGGCUAUGCAUCGGGUUUUCGGCAACAAGCUUUUCGUAUUGGGCCUUGGGAAUCGACAGGAAGAUAGCUCCCUUGCUCUUACUGGUGAUUUGCCUGAUCUUGAAGCUUGGAAGAAGAUGCUGCACCGUUCCUUAGCUCGUUAUGUUGAUAAGUGGAAGCCAUUUAGCGGUUAAAUGGCCUUCUGCAGGUUCUUGUUCUUCCAAGAUGAGCAGUUUUAUGGAAAAGUUUGUUUUAGCUGUUGUGGCAGUAUAUCUUCUUGUGGGUGUUUCUUCUGCAACUUCUACAUUACUUCGUCAUGGUGGCGAGAAGAGUUUGUCGCACAUUGACUGCAGAGAUGGCAUGAGAAAGAUUAUUGGAAGAAAAGGAGGUAGCUUUGGAUGUCAAAGUCACAUUGUUAGCAAGAAUACAGUGCCCAUCCGCAGCCUAAGAAUAAUUGUUACAACCUCUCCGCCUUCACCGACUAAAAAUCCACGAAAGUCUCAGGGCGCUCCUGCACCUCCUCCGCUUAUUAUAUGAUGGCCGGACACCUAUGUUUAUUUCUUUUCCCAUUGUUUCCUAG